rnacentral:rRNA from 1 species
GACGAACGCUGGCGGCGUGCUUAACACAUGCAAGUCGAACGGAAAGGCCCUGCUUUUGUGGGGUGCUCGAGUGGCGAACGGGUGAGUAACACGUUAGUAACCUGCCCUUGACUUUGGGAUAACUUCAGGAAACUGGGGCUAAUACCGGAUAGGAGCUCCUGCUGCAUGGUGGGGGUUGGAAAGUUUCGGCGGUUGGGGAUGGACUCGCGGCUUAUCAGCUUGUUGGUGGGGUAGUUGCUUACCAAGGCUUUGACGGGUAGCCGGCCUGAGAGGGUGACCGGACACAUUGGGACUGAGAUACGGCCCAGACUCCGACGGGAGGCAGCAGUGGGGAAUAUUGCACAAUGGGAGGAAGCCUGAUGCAGCAACGCCGCGUGCGGGAUGACGGCCUUCGGGUUGUAAACCGCUUUCGCCUGUGACGAAGCGUGAGUGACGGUAAUGGGUAAAGAAGCACCGGCUAACUACGUG